rnacentral:ncRNA from 1 species
AUACCGGAAGGAAGUUAUACCGCAGUGUUCCUUUACCGGACAUCCAAGGAGAGCGACGGCAGAUGUACGGACGGUGU